AUACCUUUCUCGGCCUUUUGGCUAAGAUCAAGUGUAGUAUCUGUUCUUAUCAGUUUAAUAUCUGAUAUGUGGGCUAUUGGCUCACAUGAUAUUAACUCAAUUUUUUUAGGGGGAGGGCUCGUUAAAGUGGCUUGCUACUUGGGCCUUCAUUUGUCGCCUUGGUGUUGCACUAUUGCCUUGGCCUGGCACACCCCAC